rnacentral:rRNA from 1 species
AUUGAACGCCGGCGGCAUGCCUUACACAUGCAAGUCGAACGGCAGCACGGGUGCUUGCACCUGGUGGCGAGUGGCGAACGGGUGAGUAAUACAUCGGAACGUACCUUAUCGUGGGGGAUAACGCAGCGAAAGCUGUGCUAAUACCGCAUACGCCCUGAGGGGGAAAGCGGGGGAUCGCAAGACCUCGCGCGAUUAGAGCGGCCGAUGCCUGAUUAGCUUGUUGGUGGGGUAAAAGCCCACCAAGGCGACGAUCAGUAGCUGGUCUGAGAGGACGAUCAGCCACACUGGGACUGAGACACGGCCCAGACUCCUACGGGAGGCAGCAGUGGGGAAUUUUGGACAAUGGGGGCAACCCUGAUCCAGCAAUGCCGCGUGAGUGAAGAAGGCCUUCGGGUUGUAAAGCUCUUUUGUCAGGGAAGAAAUCGUUUGGGUUAAUACCCCGGGCAGUUGACGGUACCUGAAGAAUAAGCACCGGCUAACUACGUGCCAGCCGCCGCCGUAA